GGAGAAAAUUGCCAGUAAAAUGAAGAUGUGAGGCUAAAGCUGAAUGAAGCAAGAGUUCCUUUCCUUGUGGCUUACUUCCAUUUCUAAGAACUAAUGUGUGAGAUGGUAUCAUUGGAGAUCAGAGUGUUACAGAAGAGCUGCGACAGCCAGCACUGCACGUUCAGGAGCCUAUGAAGCCCCUAUUCAGUCUUCAGAUAGGAGAGAACCCCGUGUAAGUGUUUCGGCAGGAAAAAAAGCUGACCAGUGGCCUCUGACGUCGUCACCACCCCAGGCAUUCUUAUGGACAUUCUUGGUCUCUUCAAGGCGAAAAGUCUGUGAUUUCUCCAAGUACAAGGGAAAAGACUGUCAUCAUCAAAUGAAGUUGUCAGUUGGGGUUGAACAUGUUACCAGAACAGCAACAGUAAUAAAACCUUCACUUUCCAAGGACGUGUAUAGAAAUCUGCAGUGCUUCAGAGAAGAUGGAGGCAUGCAUAAGAUUCUGUUUUGUGCUGCAGCUUCCAGAAGAAUAUUAGCAUAAGACUCAACUCCAGCUUUGUCUCACUAUAACCCCAAGGUUCCAGGGAGCUGUCCAAGUCUGUUGAAACCCACUUUUUACAAUGCAUUUUUCUCUAUUUUCUUUGUGUUUGCCAAAAUGAACAAAACUGAUUUUUGUCAGCUGUCAAGUGGAGCAAGAUGUCAGACGGGAGAGGUUUUCCAAUGUGCUUGGACUACUGAAGGAGAUCAAAGAAGUUUAAAUCCCUGGCAACAUCAAAUAAUCUUCAUUCCCUGGCCAGUGGUGCUGAAGAACUUUUAUAAAGUUUGCUCUAGAUGAUUUUAUCAUCUUCUCAUCUUUGGAUAUCAUAGUAUACAGUGAAGCCAAUACACAAAGUGUCAAGAAGAAAAAUCAACAGAGAUUGACAUUAUCAGCUAAUUCUCCACUGAAGAACUGAGACUUCGAUGGGUAGUUACACAACGGGUGAAAUGUGAACUACAUAACAUAAUGUGGUUUAUGAACAGAAGCUUAGAAUAUUAAUUACAUAUACCCAUCGACUUCAGCAGAUUGAUGUUUCGUGUGUGCAGAUAACUUCUGGAAGUAACAAGCCGCUGCUGUUGUGGGUCAGUUCAACCCUUUGGGGAAGCUAAGUGGCUAAAGUAAAUGUGAAUGCUGUCUGAACACAUUUGACAGUUUACUGUUGCAUAUAGAAAAAGAAGAUAGAGCCAAAAAGAAUUUCUCGAAAUGCUCAGUAUUUAUAUGACCCAUUUGCAUAAGAAUUCAGUUAUGCUGUUGGUAUGGCCAAAUGAAGGGCCUUUCAAAAGGAAAAGACACAAGAAGAUAGACACUCUAAUGCCUAGAGUUAUAAAAAGGGGAAAAAAAUUCUUGAGAGUUCAAGGCCCCUGAAGAUAUAAAUUUUGUGAGAUAAGUAGGUGUGUGAAGAAGCUAAAAGUAAUUUUAUUUCUUUUGUUACACGUUUGAUUUGUGUUGAGAACAAUUGGUACUCUGACAUAAUUAAAGCAGUUCUGACAUUUUGGUGUGUUUCAUUGUUGGGCUAUGCACAGAAUGUUCCUACUGUCUUUGUUAAUGUAUUUUGAAUAAAGAUGGGUUUUAUAUUCAUUCUGACCUUGUGAUACUACCUUGAGCUGUGCAGUACAGUAUAAAAAAGAUAAAGGAAUUUUACAAUGAUCAAUCUUGUCUAUUAAUGAAAGAAUUGCUUAUUACCAAAGUGGAAAUGUUUUCUGCACUAUUCUAAACUGAACGACAGUUUGGCCUCUUGAAAGUAUUUCUGUGAGGGCAACAUGGUCUAAGCUAAACUCUAUUAUUUUGUACUUCCUAUGAAUAUGAACAUAUUAGUCAUGAUUUGGUCAUGUUAGAGUGAAAUAAAAUUUGUGAUAUUUGU